GCAAGGAACAAGUGGCACGCUCCAGCGACUAUCUCGAUGGUCAGCUGAGCUUUCGCCAGCGCCUGAUCCAGCGCCAUCACCUGUUGUUCUGCCCCAAUUGCCGGCGCUUCCUGCGGCAGAUGCGCCUGAUGCAGGCCACCUUGCGCAAGAUGCCGGAAGGACCUGUCGCCGAUAUCGAUGCGCUGGCCGACCGCCUGGCCGCCGAGCGCAAGCGCAACGCCUGAUUCACCCGACAAU
rnacentral:sRNA from 1 species